GAUGAACGCUGGCGGCGUGCCUAAUACAUGCAAGUAGAACGCUGAAGCUUGGUGCUUGCACCGAGCGGAUGAGUUGCGAACGGGUGAGUAACGCGUAGGUAACCUGCCUCUUAGCGGGGGAUAACUAUUGGAAACGAUAGCUAAUACCGCAUAAAAGUCGAUAUCGCAUGAUAUUGAUUUGAAAGGUGCAAAUGCAUCACUAAGAGAUGGACCUGCGUUGUAUUAGCUAGUUGGUGAGGUAACGGCUCACCAAGGCGACGAUACAUAGCCGACCUGAGAGGGUGAUCGGCCACACUGGGACUGAGACACGGCCCAGACUCCUACGGGAGGCAGCAGUAGGGAAUCUUCGGCAAUGGGGGCAACCCUGACCGAGCAACGCCGCGUGAGUGAAGAAGGUUUUCGGAUCGUAAAGCUCUGUUGUAAGAGAAGAACGAGUGUGAGAGUGGAAAGUUCACACUGUGACGGUAACUUACCAGAAAGGGACGGCUAACUACGU
rnacentral:rRNA from 1 species